GACAGAGGUGCCGAGCGUUAGGCGGAAUCACUGGGCUUAAAGCGUGUGUAGGCGGACGUCUAAGUACCUUGUGAAAUCCCACGGCUCAACCGUGGAACGGCUUGGUAUACUGGGCGUCUUGAGCCACUUAGGGGUCGUCGGAACAAGCGGUGGAGCGGUGAAAUGCGUAGAUAUCGCGUGGAACGCCAACGGUGAAAACAGACGACUGGGAGUGUGCUGACGCUGAGACACGAAAGCCAGGGGAGCGAACGGG
rnacentral:rRNA from 1 species